GUAGCAAAGCAGCAAUGCAGCAAAGUAGCAAUGUAGCAAAUGUAUCAAAUGUAUCUAAAAAUGUCCUUAUACCCUUUUUUCUUUUUGAUCAACUGUCGAUGGUAAGGUAUUGGCUUACCAUGGUUACAACGGGUGACGGAGAAUUAGGGUUCGAUUCCGGAGAGGGGGCCUGAGAAACGGCUACCACAUCCAAGGAAGGCAGCAGGCGCGCAAAUUACCCAACCCUGACGAAGCUUCUCGUCCGUUGGAUCCUGGUAACGAACACAAGAAGUGUCCGCUUGAGGUUCCUUUAACUAGGAUCCAUUGGAAGGCAAGACUGGUGCAAGAAGCCGUGGUAAUUCCAGCCCCAA
rnacentral:ncRNA from 1 species